rnacentral:ncRNA from 1 species
ACUUCAGGGGCGCUGUCGCAAAAGCCGGCUGAGAGUAGGAUGGAUGUUUCCUUAACCCUUCAACCUGAUACGGAUAAUGCCGUCGUAGGGAGCA